AAUCAACGCUGGCGGCGUGCCUCAGACAUGCAAGUCGAACGAUUAAAGCUCUCUUCGGAGAGUGUAUAGAGUGGCGCACGGGUGAGUAACACGUAAGUAAUCUACCUUUGAGUGGGGAAUAACAUCGGGAAACCGAUGCUAAUACCGCAUAAUGCAGCGGCAUCGCAAGAUGACAGUUGUUAAAGAUUAUCGCUUGAAGAGGAGCUUGCGGCAGAUUAGCUAGUUGGUAAGGUAAUGGCUUACCAAGGCUACGAUCUGUAACCGGUCUAAGAGGACGGUCGGUCACACUGACACUGAAUAACGGGUCAGACUCCUACGGAGGCAGCAGUCGGGAAUUUUGGGUCAAUGGGCGAAAGCCUGACCCAGCAACGCCGCGUGAAGGAUGAAGUAUUUCGGUAUGUAAACUUCGAAAGAAUGGGAAGAAUAAAUGACGGUACCAUUUAUAAGGUCCGGCUAACUACGUGCCAGCAGCCGCCGUAAU
rnacentral:rRNA from 1 species